UACGGGGGGGCAAGCGUUGUUCGGAAUUACUGGGCGUAAAGGGCUCGUAGGUGGCCAAUUAAGUCAGACGUGAAAUCCCCAAGCUUAACUUGGGAACUGCAUCUGAUACUGGAUGGCUUGAGUUCGGGAGAGGGAUGCGGAAUUCCAGGUGGUAGCGGUGAAAUGCGUAGAUAUACUGGAGGAACACCGGUGGCGAAGGCGGCAUCCUGGACCGACACUGACGCUGAGGAGCGAAAGCCAGGGAGCAACGGG
rnacentral:rRNA from 1 species